AUAAUGGGUAAAAUUUUCUGACACGUAUGUUUACUUUCCUUGUGGAAAGUAUGUUUACUUUUCCUUAUGGCUAUAAGAGGUUGAUUCUAAUAUUAGCCCCAUUUUACAGAUGAGAAGACCAAGAACCCAAAAGAUGAGCUCAUAGACCCCGAACCAAGUGCACCUGCACCCACCUGUUCCGGUGGCCUGGAGAGAGACCAUCCUCAUUGCUUCUCAAGGCCCUAACCCAGGAAGCCCAGGAUGGCAGCCGAGAUUUCCUACCCCAGGGAAGAGAUGCCUCUGGUGAAGGUGGGCAACCAAGACAACAAUUCUUGGCUUUGAGUUUUGAAUUAUGGCCACGGUAGAGAUUUAAAAAAAAAAAAUGUUUUUAAGAGAAAAGGCUUUGGGGUUGCCAAAAUCUAGGCUUUUGAGGUUCAAAAUCCUAAUCUUUGAACAAUUUAGAGAAUGAAGAUUAGGUGUGUAUAUUUGGCAACAGAAACAUACCUGGUUACUCUUCCAACACCUUGAAAAGUAUUUGUUGCUUAAAGAUUCCACAGCGGGAGCCAGUGGCAGAGGAGACAGAGGAGGUCAGCCAAAGGGAGGAGAGAAGGAGAAGCAAGAGAGUUAGGUAGAUAUAGCAACGUGACCCCAAGAAAAGGAUCCUAGACCAGACCCUAGGGGAAAGGGGCACAACAGAAAUUCCAGAUCCAUUUGGGGAUUUGGCUCCAAAGAGGA
rnacentral:lncRNA from 1 species